rnacentral:rRNA from 1 species
AUUGGACGCUGGCGGCAUGCCUUACACAUGCAAGUCGAACGGUAACAGGUCUUCGGAUGCUGACGAGUGGCGAACGGGUGAGUAAUACAUCGGAACGUGCCUAGUAGUGGGGGAUAACUACUCGAAAGAGUGGCUAAUACCGCAUGAGAUCUACGGAUGAAAGCAGGGGAUCGAAAGACCUUGUGCUACUAGAGCGGCCGAUGGCAGAUUAGGUAGUUGGUGGGAUAAAAGCUUACCAAGCCGACGAUCUGUAGCUGGUCUGAGAGGACGAUCAGCCACACUGGGACUGAGACACGGCCCAGACUCCUACGGGAGGCAGCAGUGGGGAAUUUUGGACAAUGGGCGAAAGCCUGAUCCAGCAAUGCCGCGUGCAGGAUGAAGGCCUUCGGGUUGUAAACUGCUUUUGUACGGAACGAAAAGCCCUGGGUUAAUACCCUGGGGUCAUGACGGUACCGUAAGAAUAUGCACCGGCUAACUACGUGCCAGCCGCCGCCGUAAAAC